UUAUGAUGAGGGGUCGUACACCUGCUCCAUACAGACGAAGCAGCAGCCCAAGACCUCACAGGUCUACCUCAUUGUACAAGAAGUACCUGACUAUGCCAGACUUUUGUGCAGCCUACGGAUGCUCUAAUCACCGCAGUCUGCAAACAAGAACCCGUGGGAUCACCUUUCACGUGUUUCCCAAAACCGAAGAGAGGAGGAGGCAGUGGGAACUCGCCCUAAGAAGGGACGGUUUUGUUUCCUGUGACAGGACAGUAACAGUUUGACCCGUUGUUGGGCCAAGCUGUUUUGUGCAUAUCAUUUUACUUACUUGCAGUUACAAAUAAACCGCUGGUAACACAUACCAAUUAUA